ACCCAACAAAUGCAACGCUGGGCUCUGCAGUCCUUCUUUACCUUUCCGACACCAUUGCCCAGCCUGAGUAUUUGCACUUUCUCCCUGGAGUUUAGCAAAUGUCUGAGUGCAGAGAGGGAACCGGCCCACCGUCCCGAAACAGACGAAUAAAUAACUCUGGCGGCGCGCCUCAUACUAGAGCUUGUGCAAGCAAGUGGACCAGAAAUAGCUCAGGGUAGAAGACUCCCAGCGGCGCCAUAGGAAGAAUGAGGCACAAGCCAAUUUUGUACCCUGAAACGGACAUUCCCCGGCUGGAAAAAGCUUGAGUAAAAAGGAGCCAGAGUCAUCUGAAAGGAGGGAACUGCAACUGAGAAAAUGCCUGUCAUAAGGUUUCUGCCCUAACUUCCUUGCUGGACUGACAGAACCUGGAAAGAUGCUGAUCAGCUGGGCUGAAGAAUCAGCUGUGAUUCACUGAAGUCAAAUCUCCUGGGAAGUGUUUCCUCAGAAGCCGUGCUCCAGAGGUGGCCAAGGUUGAACCUCAUGCCGGCAGCCGAACUUGGUUGCGUAAGAGUGACCCAGCUGAUAACUGCUUUAAAGGUAUAAAGGGAUCAUGGACAGCAGCUGAGGCUUGACCCUGUGUGGCAGGCCUGGAGUCCCUGAAAAGAGCCCAGGAGAGGUUAAAGGUGAAAGUGCAGCCCAGCUCCUGUAGAAGAGUCCAGCAUUUUGGAGAUGCCAGUACCAGGGGACAACCUCCAAGAACAGCAGCAGGUGUGGAGUGGAGCCAGCCUGAGCCUAGAAGACAUGUUCUGUGUGCUACAGAGGACAGAGCCAGAGAAGUGACCAGGCCCUUUGGAGGAGCUCAGAAGAUCAGGAGAGACGUCCAGACAUUGGAGGCUGAGUCAUUUACUGUUGGAACUUGGUUUUGCUUUGCUCAGGCUAUCUGUGGGCUGGUUCUUCUCUCUUGAGGUAAUAAAGUAACUUAUAUUUUAUUUUACAGGAGCAAAUUUGAAUAUUUUAAAGAGACUUUGGACUUUUA
rnacentral:lncRNA from 1 species